rnacentral:rRNA from 1 species
UACGGAGGAUGCAAGCGUUAUCCGGAAUUAUUGGGCGUAAAGCGUCCGCAGGUGGCGAUGUAAGUCUGCUGUUAAAGAGUCUAGCUCAACUAGAUAAGAGCAGUGGAAACUACAUAGCUAGAGUACGUUCGGGGCAGAGGGAAUUCCUGGUGUAGCGGUGAAAUGCGUAGAGAUCAGGAAGAACACCAGUGGCGAAGGCGCUCUGCUAGGCCGUAACUGACACUGAGGGACGAAAGCUAGGGGAGCGAAUGGG